GUCGCCGUUCGUCCGAACAAAUUUUUUCUCAGUAUAUGUGUAUGGUUCACUGUGUCUCUCGAAACGCGGCGGCGGCGGCGGCGGCAGCGACGACGACGACACGAACGCGUCAAUUGUUCAUGGAACCGCAACGGUCAUUCUGCUUGGUUCUUCGAAUUGGGGAUUCUGUAGCUCGGCAGGUCGAACGGCGGAUCGGUGAGAAAAUGACCUGCAGGGAUGGCAGCUGGACGUCGGUCCUUUUCGAUCGGUUUUACGCCUCGACGUUUCGCCGUUCCUGGGCGGCGGUGUGAAUGACGAACUUCAACAAAAGAAUUAACUCCGCAUUGAUCUCUUGCCCGAUUAGCUCUCGAUGCCGAGCUCAUUAUCCGACGAAUUGUCACGAGCCAAAUAUACGUUUGGGAUAAAAUGUGA